UACGGGGGGGGCAAGCGUUGUUCGGAAUUACUGGGCGUAAAGGGCUCGUAGGCGGCCAACUAAGUCGGAUGUGAAAUCCCCAGGCUUAACCUGGGAACUGCAUCCGAUACUGGUUGGCUUGAAUCCGGGAGAGGGAUGCGGAAUUCCAGGUGUAGCGGUGAAAUGCGUAGAUAUCUGGAGGAACACCAAUAGCGAAGGCAGCUCGCUGGGACGUUACUGACACUGAGGCGCGAAAGCGUGGGGAGCGAACAGG
rnacentral:rRNA from 1 species